CUGACAGAAUGCUUAACACAUGCAAGUCUACUUGAUCCUUCGGGUGAAGGUGGCGGACGGGUGAGUAACGCGUAAAGAACUUGCCUUACAGACUGGGACAACAUUUGGAAACGAAUGCUAAUACCGGAUAUUAUGACUGAGUCGCAUGAUUUGGUUAUGAAAGCUAUAUGCGCUGUGAGAGAGCUUUGCGUCCCAUUAGUUAGUUGGUGAGGUAACGGCUCACCAAGACGAUGAUGGGUAGCCGGCCUGAGAGGGUGAACGGCACAAGGGGACUGAGACACGGCCCUUACUCCUACGGGAGGCAGCAGUGGGGAAUAUUGGACAAUGGACCAAAAGUCUGAUCCAGCAAUUCUGUGUGCACGAUGAAGUUUUCCGGAAUGUAAAGUGCUUUCAGUUGGGAAGAAGUCAGUGACGGUACCAAAGAAGAAGCGACGGCUAAAUACGUGCCAGCAGCCGCGGUAAUACGUAUGUCGCAAGCGUUAUCCGGAUUCACUUGGGCGUAAAGCGCGUCUAGGCGGUCUUACGUCACGUCUGAUGUGACAACAUGCGGGGCUUCAAACCCCGUAUAUGCGUUGGACACCUGCUAAAACUAGCAGUACUGGACCAGCGUAGGCCGGAAUACAAGUUGUCACAAGGUGACAAUUCGGCACGAUCAUCU
rnacentral:rRNA from 1 species